CCUACGGGAGGCAGCAGUGAGGAAUAUUGGUCAAUGGACGAGAGUCUGAACCAGCCAAGUAGCGUGAAGGAUGACUGCCCUAUGGGUUGUAAAUUUCUUUUAUAUGGGAAUAAAAUGUUCCACGUGUGGGAUUUUGUAUGUACCAUAUGAAUAAGGAUCGGCUAACUCCGUGCCAGCAGCCGCGGUAAUACGGAGGAUCCGAGCGUUAUCCGGAUUUAUUGGGUUUAAAGGGCGCGUAGGUGGAUUGUUAAGUCAGUUGUGAAAGUUUGCGGCUCAAACGUAAAAUUGCAGUUGAAACUGGCAGGCUUGAGGACAGUAGAGGUGGGCGGAAUUCGUGGUGUAGCGGUGAAAUGCUUAGAUAUCACGAAGAACUCCGAUUGCGAAGGCAGCUCACUGGACUGCAACUGACACUGAGGCUCGAAAGUGUGGGUAUCAAACAGGAUUAGAUACCCUUGUAGUC
rnacentral:rRNA from 1 species